UCGGCUUCGUCGGGGAACAGGUGCUUCAGGCGGUCUUCCAGGCCGGCCUUGGUCUGGGCCACCAGGAAGUCGUCGAUGGUCAUGCCGUCGGGUGUCGGG
rnacentral:tRNA from 1 species